rnacentral:misc_RNA from 1 species
ACUCCAACCCUUUUCAACACAGUAAACAAUAGUCAAUGCAGAAGAGAUGAAUGCAGAUUUACUCGUAAAAGAUUGCAGCAAUAAAGAAAGUAAAGAUUAUUUAACAUGGAAUAAAAGCGAAUUUGAAAUUUUCAAGAGAAUGGUAAUCGAGCAGAAUAUAAAUUGUCGUUUAGACGAUAUGUUUCUCUUGAGCUUCCUUAGAGCCAGAAAAUUCGAUAAA